GCCUGUGCCCGGGGGCGGGGGCGGGGGCGGGGGCGGGGGGGGCUCCCGGCGAUGCGAGUGGAAGCGGAUGGGAGGCGAGGGCCGGGCCCCCAUCUCCCGAGAGCCCCGCGGCUUCCUAAAGCCCUUCCCGGGGAGGGAUGGGAGGCUCUGCCGCAAAGGAGCGGCUGCCACGCGCGCGCCUCGCGUCCCUCCCCGGGUCCCUCUUCCCACGCACGACACACCGGGCGCUAGAAGGGACCAGACCGCAAAGCCCCCUGCGCGGCAGCCCCUGGGGUCCCCCGGGCAAGCAGGGGACGGGGCGCUGCGAUCCCGGCCGCCAGGCCGCCUGCAGGUGCCCCAGCCGCCCCCUCCCCGGCCGGGUCGCCUGGGCCUCGGUGCAGGUCGAGGUGUCAGGACAUCUGCACUCGGGCCGCCCACCCCUAGGGCUCCGCACGGCGGGGGCUCCGCACACUACACCCCGGUCCUCGGCCUCGCAGGGAGCCCGGCCGCCCCCCGGACACCAGCCCUGGAGAGAGGAAGAGAAGACAAGGGGACAGAAGAAGUGCUUCCCGCAGAGGGGACACUGCUGUCUGCUGGAUUUAAAAGUGCGGCCUCUUUGAAACAAAUACCGUGA
rnacentral:lncRNA from 1 species